GCCACUUUGCCUGAGUCCGGUCGAUAGGAACUGCCUUGUAAGCAGUCGGGAUAAUACCCCAUCGCAGGUUCAAAUCCUGUGGGUGGCACCA
rnacentral:tRNA from 1 species